rnacentral:lncRNA from 1 species
GCUGGUAUAACUGGGGUGACCCUAACCGUGAAAUGUAUGUUACUCUUUCUUUUUUCUUCACAAAUUCAUCCAUCUGCACUGUAUACAUAAAUUAUAUUUAAAUUACGAGUAUCGAUAUGUUGACAAUCCUGUACCAGAUUAUAACCGAAAAGAGAAAUGAUUUUUUUUUUUCUGAAAGAUGGUGAGGAAAUGAAUCAAUUUUCACACUUAUAAAUUGGUUUUCCUUUUGCUGAGAUGUGGAUUCCAUGUGAAGAAAUGAAUCAAUUUUCAUACUUGUAAAUUGGUGUUUUAGUAGACAAAAGUAACAUUUUCCUUAAAUUUUUAUUUACUACUUCUAAUUGGUUAAGCCUUUACCCAUAAUUCCUAUGUUUCUCAUGCAAAUUCCAUUAGUAAUACUACCAAUGAAGUUGUCUACCACUAUCUGCUCACUCCAUUUCAUCUUAUUAUAGUAUUAUUAUGUGUUGGCUAUUUAGUAGUACUGAUUUCACUAAAAAUUUACAUUACUUCAGGACUUUAGAAUAACAUGGUAUUACAAAAUUAAUAGAUCAAUACAGCAUCAGAAUCUAAAAUGAGAAUUUACUUUCAUUAAUGACAUUCUGUAGUAAUUUACAAAUAGAGAAAUUAUGUGACAUCUUUGGAAAUUUAAGGUUUUAGAUAAUAUCAGUAACAAACUCCCUCUCCCUCUGUCUUUUUUUUUGUGUCUAAACUAUUUAAUUUUUAGCUCAAAACAUAAUUCUCUUUAAACUUUUCUGGAUACCAUAACAGCUCUGACAAAUAUAUAGUUUUUAAACAUGUACAAAUUUUAGAUGGAAGUGAAAAUAAAACCUUAUUUUACUCCUCCGAUUCUUUUCUCUCUUCUUGAAAGUGAUCAUUCCUACAAGUCAACGAAAUUGCAAGGCCAAAAGGUCAUUUUUUCAGUUUAUCUGUCAUGAACUCUUGGCACCAUGUUAAGACCAUUUGACCUCACAACACACAUAGUGUCAUCUCUCUGAUGGAAAGGGAAAUGCAUUGCUCUUUAUAAAAUACCACCAAAAAUGAUGUUUGAAACCCCAUUAAGUGGAUUGAAGAAACACAAUAUGUAAUAGUUGACACAUGUCUGUUUUUUAAGCAUUUAUUGUUGAAGAUUCAAUCUUUACACUUAUCAUAAAAUAGUUUCUGUCAAAAAAU